rnacentral:rRNA from 1 species
GGGGAAUAUUGGACAAUGGGCGAAAGCCUGAUCCAGCAAUGCCGCGUGAGUGAUGAAGGCCUUAGGGUUGUAAAGCUCUUUUACCCGGGAUGAUAAUGACAGUACCGGGAGAAUAAGCUCCGGCUAACUCCGUGCCAGCAGCCGCGGUAAUACGGAGGGAGCUAGCGUUGUUCGGAAUUACUGGGCGUAAAGCGCACGUAGGCGGCUUUGUAAGUUAGAGGUGAAAGCCUGGAGCUCAACUCCAGAAUUGCCUUUAAGACUGCAUCGCUUGAAUCCAGGAGAGGUGAGUGGAAUUCCGAGUGUAGAGGUGAAAUUCGUAGAUAUUCGGAAGAACACCAGUGGCGAAGGCGGCUCACUGGACUGGUAUUGACGCUGAGGUGCGAAAGCGUGGGGAGCAAAC